rnacentral:rRNA from 1 species
CUGGCUCAGGAUGAACGCUAGCGGCAGGCCUAAUACAUGCAAGUCGAGGGGUAGAGUUAGCUUGCUAACUUGAGACCGGCGCACGGGUGCGUAACGCGUAUGCAAUCUACCUUUAUCUGGGGGAUAGCCCGAAGAAAUUCGGAUUAACACCGCAUAAAAUCACAGUACGGCAUCGUACAAUGAUCAAAUAUUUAUAGGAUAGAGAUGAGCAUGCGUGUCAUUAGUUAGUUGGCGGGGUAACGGCCCACCAAGACCACGAUGACUAGGGGAUCUGAGAGGAUGACCCCCCACACUGGUACUGAGACACGGACCAGACUCCUACGGGAGGCAGCAGUAAGGAAUAUUGGUCAAUGGAGGCAACUCUGAACCAGCCAUGCCGCGUGCAGGAAGACGGCCCUCUGGGUUGUAAACUGCUUUUAUUCGGGAAUAAACCUACUUACGUGUAAGUAGCUGAAUGUACCGAAGGAAUAAGGAUCGGCUAACUCCGUGCCAGCAGCCGCGGUAAUACGGAGGAUCCAAGCGUUAUCCGGAUUUAUUGGGUUUAAAGGGU